rnacentral:lncRNA from 1 species
GGUGCUGUUUACAGGGUUUGCUGUGCUGCCUACCCCAGUGAUGCAUGCAGAACGUCCCUCACGAGACAGUGACCACAGGCGAGUGUCACUGGGAGAUCUGUAUCUACGACCCCAGGCAGAGUCUGCUGGGGACUUCUGACCUCGCCCAUAUGGCCUGCUUUGGGGCUGCCACUUGGCACACCAUAGAGCCACCACCCCCAGACCAGGAACCAGCACCGUGGCUCAGCAGCAUCAAGUCCACCCCCGGCUCGAAGCAGAAGCAGGAGCAGAGCAGAGAGCAAGUGGUGAAUGGCGCUGGAGGAUUUCCGCGAAUUAUUAGGGAAAAGGUGGUGACAGUGAGAGGCCGACAUUAA